UACGGAGGGUGCAAGCGUUAUCCGGAUUCACUGGGUUUAAAGGGUGCGUAGGUGGGCAGGUAAGUCAGUGGUGAAAUCUCCGGGCUUAACCCGGAAACUGCCAUUGAUACUAUUUAUCUUGAAUACUGUGGAGGUCAGCGGAAUAUGUCAUGUAGCGGUGAAAUGCUUAGAUAUGACAUAGAACACCAAUUGCGAAGGCAGCUGGCUACACAAAUAUUGACACUGAGGCACGAAAGCGUGGGGAUCAAACAGG
rnacentral:rRNA from 1 species